rnacentral:piRNA from 1 species
UGAUCGUAGGCACUGCUUUGUUGCUUCAGUA